rnacentral:lncRNA from 1 species
GACGGUAAAAAGUACAAAGCCCCUGGAACACGCCGGUUGCAAGAUAUCAUUGGCGUGGACAGUGGGGGCCCUGGAAGCAGACGAUCCGGCGAAGCCGGCCAUUCGCAAUCCGACUACCUAAAGUUCAAGGAUCUAAUUUCCCGCAUGCUCGACUACGACCCCCGGACGCGCAUUACCCCUUACUAUGCUCUUCAGCAUGGUUUCUUCAGACGCACCUCGGACGAGGGAACUAAUACGGGCGCGGCCGCUGCUGUAGGCAAUCACAGUGCCAGCAGCAGUCCUGCCGUGGUUGCCAUAGACUUGACCAACAGCCAGCAAGGCUCUGACUCGAAUCAAUGACUAACAUAGUGAUAUGGUUUCAACUAACCGUUCUAAUUUAAUACAGGUAUGCGGUGUGUAGAGGGUAAAUUUCAAUAUAGCUGUCUGUUUGGUUUAAUGUUGGAAGUAGAACGCAUGAUCAUCAUAAGGGUCCUUAGGGUCAAUUUCGGAUUUGAACCGCACAGGGACAUUUGAAAGGGUGAUU